UACAGAGGUCUCAAGCGUUGUUCGGAUUCAUUGGGCGUAAAGGGUGCGUAGGCGGCGCGGUAAGUCGGGUGUGAAAUCUUGGAGCUUAACUCCGAAACUGCAUUCGAUACUGCCGUGCUUGAGGACUGGAGAGGAGACUGGAAUUUACGGUGUAGCGGUGAAAUGCGUAGAUAUCGUAAGGAAGACCAGUGGCGAAGGCGGGUCUCUGGACAGUUCCUGACGCUGAAGCAGCGAAGGCCAGGGGAGCAAAACGGG
rnacentral:rRNA from 1 species